rnacentral:lncRNA from 1 species
CAGGUUGUCCACAUUGUAUUUCAAAAUAUCAAAUCCAUCUGAUGGAUUAUCCUGGCCAAGAUUUUGUUAAAUUGAAAUACAGCGACUCAUUCUUCUCCAACUCUUGGAGUGGUCAAUCCCAUCUUGAUCACACUUCGACUUCGCAAGUACAUGACUGUAUCCAGAAGCCUUCCAUCACUGAAUUAGAAAUUCAAUUAGUCCAGUACCAAAGCACAGUGAGUUGCUUGCAAGUCACUGAGGCGAUCUC